rnacentral:rRNA from 1 species
GACGAACGCUGGCGGCGUGCUUAACACAUGCAAGUCGAACGGAAAGGCCCUGCUUUUGUGGGGUGCUCGAGUGGCGAACGGGUGAGUAACACGUGAGUAACCUGCCCUUGACUUUGGGAUAACUUCAGGAAACUGGGGCUAAUACCGGAUAGGAGCUCCUGCUGCAUGGUGGGGGUUGGAAAGUUUCGGCGGUGGGGGAUGGACUCGCGGCUUAUCAGCUUGUUGGUGGGGUAGUGGCUUACCAAGGCUUUGACGGGUAGCCGGCCUGAGAGGGUGGCCGGCCACAAUGGGACUGAGAUACGGCCCAGACUCCUACGGGAGGCAGCAGUGGGGAAUAUUGCACAAUGGGCGGAAGCCUGAUGCAGCAACGCCGCGUGCGGGAUGACGGCCUUCGGGUUGUAAACCGCUUUCGCCUGAGACGAAGCGUGAGUGACGGUAAUGGGUAAAGAAGCACCGGCUAACUACGUG